rnacentral:rRNA from 1 species
UAUCGUUUAUUUGAUAGUACCUUACUACAUGGAUACCUGUGGUAAUUCUAGAGCUAAUACAUGCUAAAAACCCCGACUUCAGGAAGGGGUGUAUUUAUUAGAUAAAAAACCAACGCCCUUCGGGGCUCCUUGGUGAAUCAUAAUAACUUAACGAAUCGCAUGGCCUUGCGCCGGCGAUGGUUCAUUCAAAUUUCUGCCCUAUCAACUUUCGAUGGUAGGAUAGUGGCCUACCAUGGUGGCAACGGGUAACGGGGAAUUAGGGUUCGAUUCAGGAGAGGGAGCCUGAGAAACGGCUACCACA